rnacentral:rRNA from 1 species
GAUGAACGCUGGCGGCGUGCUUAACACAUGCAAGUCGAACGGAAAGGCCCAAGCUUGCUUGGGUACUCGAGUGGCGAACGGGUGAGUAACACGUGGGUGAUCUGCCCUGCACUUCGGGAUGAGCCUGGGAAACUGGGUCUAAUACCGGAUAGGACCACAUUUUGGAUGGUGUGGUGGAAAGUUUUUCGGUGUGGGAUGAGCUCGCGGCCUAUCAGCUUGUUGGUGGGGUAAUGGCCUACCAAGGCGUCGACGGGUAGCCGGCCUGAGAGGGUGUACGGCCACAUUGGGACUGAGAUACGGCCCAGACUCCUACGGGAGGCAGCAGUGGGGAAUAUUGCACAAUGGGCGCAAGCCUGAUGCAGCGACGCCGCGGGGGGGAUGACGGCCUUCGGGUUGUAAACUCCUUUCGCUAGGGACGAAGCGUUAUGUGACGGUACCUGGAGAAGAAGCACCGGCUAACUACGUG